rnacentral:rRNA from 1 species
UCCCCUGUUCUGGUUGGGCCUUGCCGAGGUGUGGGUGAGAGAAUAUCCUCGUAUGUUCGGCAGGGCUUUGGCCGGGGCGGCCUCGCCGGCUUCGGCAGGCGGGGAGAUGGGGCGCAGGCCGAGGACUUGCCAUUGUGCGGCGCGGGCAACGGGGUGCCCCUGUGGUGCCCUUAUCCCGAUGUCCGCCGGCAAGUACCUGAGAGCGCAGCCGUUGGGACCCGAAAGAUGGUGAACUAUGCCUGGCGAGGACGAAGCCAGAGGAAACUCUGGUGGAGGUCCGAAGCAGUUCUGACGUGCAAAUCGAUUGUCAGAGCUGGGUAUAGGGGCGAAAGACUAAUCGAACCAUCUAGUAGCUGGUUCCCUCCGAAGUUUCCCUCAGGAUAGCUGGCGUUGGACUUUUGAGAGUUUCAUCCGGUAAAGCGAAUGAUUAGAGGCCUUGGUGGUGCAAUGCCGUCAACCUAUUCUCAAACUUUAAAUGGGUGAGACGUAGAGCUUGCUUGAAACGUGAAGCUGUAUGUUACUUAANAAUCAGAAUGCCUAGUGGGCCACU